rnacentral:rRNA from 1 species
UACGUAGGGGGCAAGCGUUGUCCGGAAUCAUUGGGCGUAAAGCGCGUGUAGGCGGCCCGGUAAGUCCGCUGUGAAAGUCCAGGGCUCAACCCUGGGAUGCCGGUGGAUACUGUCGGGCUCGAGUCCGGAAGAGGCGAGUGGAAUUCCUGGUGUAGCGGUGAAAUGCGCAGAUAUCAGGAGGAACACCGAUGGCGAAGGCAGCUCGCUGGGACGGUACUGACGCUGAGACGCGAAAGCGUGGGGAGCAAACAGG